GUUUAUCCUCAUCACAAGACAAUAAUCAAACCAAGAUUAGACACUUGUAUCCCUUUAGAAUUGUCUAGAUCUAGCUCAAUCAGACGCAAGAUAAACGGCACGCUUAAGGCAUGUUCAAGAAAUAAUUAUUCACCAAUCAGAAUGAAGAACAACAUUAAAAUCUUUGCCAUUAUUUUCCUCUUCCUGGCAAUAAUCAUCACCGAGGGGGCUGAAAGCAAAGAUGCUAAGAAAACUAAUAAUAAAGACAAGAAUAAAAGUGCUGUUGAGACUCUGAAUUAUGACCUAGACACUGAUGAUGACGAGAAUGAUGAUGAUUUUGAUGAAACAACCCCAGCAGCAGUCAUUAAAACGACACCCAAAUCAAAAGUGACAAGUAAAGCUCCAAAAAAGAAAAAAAAUGCAAAAGCAGUCAAAAACUCUCAAAACCAAAAGGAUAAAAGCAAAACCAAUCGAGGACCUAAAGGAGAGCCAGGACCCAAAGGAGAAAAAGGAGAGCCAGGAGAUGAAGCAUCAGCUAGUUUUCCCAUGCAAGCAGCCCUAUCAGCAGUUUUAACAGAACAUUUUGGCCCUGCUAAAGAUACUAUUGUGCCUUUUGAUCUGGUUUUACUUGACCUUGGCGAUAACUAUGACAACUCCACUGGAGUGUUCAUUUGUACAA